CCUACGGGAGGCAGCAGUGAGGAAUAUUGAGCAAUGGGCGCAAGCCUGACUCAGCAACGCCGCGUGGGCGAUGAAGGCCUUCGGGUUGUAAAGCCCUUUUCUGGGGGACGAGGAAGGACGGUACCCCAGGAAUAAGUCACGGCUAACUACGUGCCAGCAGCCGCGGUAACACGUAGGUGGCGAGCGUUAUCCGGAUUCACUGGGCGUAAAGCGCGUGCAGGCGGUUCCGUAAGUCGGACGUGAAAGCUCCUGGCUUAACUGGGAGAGGCCGUUCGAUACUGCGGGACUUGAGGUCGGGAGAGGGACGUGGAAUUCCCGGUGUAGUGGUGGAAUGCGUAG
rnacentral:rRNA from 1 species